rnacentral:lncRNA from 1 species
UCGAAGCCCUCGAACUCCUCUCCCCAGCCCCUGCAUCAUCGGAGCCACCUCGGACCUGGCAUCCCCCCAUCGGAUCAUGUAGUCUCGAGCCCGCAUCCCCAAGCUCCCCCUUCUUCCCGACAGCCUCCCAAAGCCACCAUCCCACCGCCCCGACCUCCCCCUUCUUCUUGACCUCCCUCCAUGUUCCCCCACCAUCGUGCCCUGC